rnacentral:rRNA from 1 species
GUUGAUCCUGCCGGACCUGACUGCUAUCGGAUUGAUACUAAGCCAUGCGUGUCAUUGUAGCAAUACAAGGCAUACGGCUCAGUAACGCGUAGUCAACCUACCCUAUGGACGGGGAUAACCUCGGGAAACUGAGAAUAAUACCCGAUAGAACAUUAUUCCUGGAAUGGUUUAUGUUUCAAAUAAUUUAUUGCCGUAGGAUGGGACUGCGGCCUAUCAGUUUGUUGGUGAGGUAAUGGCCCACCAAGACUAUUACAGGUACGGGCUCUGAGAGGAGUAGCCCGGAGAUGGGUACUGAGACACGGACCCAGGCCCUAUGGGGCGCAGCAGGCGAGAAAACUUUGCAAUGUGCGAAAGCACGACAAGGUUAAUCCGAGUGGUUUCUGCUAAAGGAACCUUUUGACAGUCAUAGAACCACUGCUGAAUAAGGGGUGGGCAAGUUCUGGUGUCAGCCGCCGCGGUAAAACCAGCACCUCAAGUGGUCAGGAUGAUUAUUGGGCCUAAAGCAUCCGUAGCCUGCUUUGUCAGUUUUCGGUUAAAUCCAUACGCUCAACGUAUGGGCUGCCGGGAAUACUGCACAGCUAGGGAGUGGGAGAGGUAGACGGUACUCGGUAGGAAGGGGUAAAAUCCUUUGAUCUAUUGAUGACCACCUGUGGCGAAGGCGGUCUACCAGAACACGUCCGACG